CGAGGUCUACGUCAGGUGGGUCACCGUGUGUAAAAAAAUAAAGACCUUAUCUUCAAGUAUAAAGAGGCUGGAUGUGACCAGAAAGACGAAAUUAAUUGAUUCAAAGGAAUCUCGAAAAAAAUUAUUUGGCCGAUGCUAAAAAGCCGAAGACAUGAUAAAGAAGAAUUACAUGGAUGAGAGAAACAAGGAUUGAAAAGG